ACUUGCCAAUUUACCACCCUGGACACCCUUGAUUUUGUCUGAUUUUGAAAGCUAAGGAGGGUCAGGCCUGGUUCGUUCUUGGAUGGGCGACCAUCCAGAGGUACCAGGGAGCUCUUAAGUA
rnacentral:rRNA from 1 species